GUCCACACUGUAAACGCUGUCUACUAGCUGUGUGUGUCUAUAAGACGUGCGUAGCGAAGCUAACGCGAUAAGUAGACCGCCUGGGGAGUACGGCCGCAAGGUUAAAACUCAAAUGAAUUGACGGGGGCCCGCACAAGCGGUGGAGCAUGUGGUUUAAUUCGAUGCAACGCGAAGAACCUUACCUACACUUGACAUGCACAGGAGGCUGAAGAGAUUUGGCUGUGCCUUUGGGAGCUGUGACACAGGUGCUGCAUGGCU
rnacentral:rRNA from 1 species